AGAGAGGGAGAGGUUGAAGAUGUGGGGGGAGGGCAAAAGGGGUAAAGGGGCACAUGUGUACAGUGAUGGAUGGCAACUAGACUAUUGGUGGGGAGCACAAUGCAGUCUAUACGGAAGGCAAAAUAUGAUGUACACCUGAAAUUUAUGCAAUGUUAUAAAUCAAUGUUACUUCAAUAAAAAAAAAUAAAUAAAAAUAUCAAAUGGGUGGUCUGUGAACUCCCAGAGAGAGAAAAGGUGAUCCUUAAGGAAACCAGCAUGAAUUUACUAAGACAAGACAGCCUGACAGACAGGCCUUGGUUUCUUUUGUGAUUUCUUUAUUAGACUAGCAGAUCAAAGGAAUCCUGUGGACAUAGAGGUUUCUGUAUUUCUGCAAAGCAUUUUUCAAAGACUUUCAUGGCAUCCUUGCAGAAAAGAUGGAGAAACUGGGUGGUUGAUAAGAUAAUUGAGCAGCAUAACCACUCCUUCCUAAGAAUGCUGAGCAAUGGAUCUAUUUUUGUCAACUCUGGCAAAUUUUGUCAAAGGUGUAUGUUGAACAGGGCUGUUUUCCUAGCAUGGUCCUUUUUAAGUACCCUGGAUAUGGGCUGAGUGGACCUGGUUAUCAGUGUACGGAGAACAAGAGGCUGGGAGGGAGUAUGAAUAAAUCAAAUGACAAAGCAGGUUCCAAAUUGGCAUUGGCCCAGGGAUGAUGUCUCAGCUAGUAUCUUUUGGAAUAAUGCAGGAUAAAUGCGUAAAUAAAUGCGAAAAUGGCCAUCUCUAUUAAAACGAAACUUAAAGUUUUAGUGUGCUAUCCUUGGAACCUAAGUUAAGGAUAUAGGUAGGAUAUAGGGAGAAGGAUAUAAGGGUAUAUAAGGAUAUUGGGAAAACUUGUUAAAUAGCAGCAUGUGGAAAAGAAGACUUGGGGAUUUUAGUGGCCUGAGGCCAGUAAGAACCAAGAGUGUGAUGAGGCUACAAAAGAAAAGGAAACAACAACAAAGGAAUCUUGGGCUGUUUAAGCAGAAAUAUAGUGUUCUGACUGUUCUAUGCUUUUGAUAAUCAAUCUUACUAUACUUUGAUUUAUUAUGUUCAAUUCUGGGAAACAUAUUUCUUGAGGGACGUAGACCAACUUGAACUCCUUCAUAGGAGUCAUAUCAUAUAGUGCUAUAAAUCAUGACAUAUGAGCAACAGCCAAAAUGAGUGAGGAUGGUUAGCUCAGAGAAUAAAAUAUUUAGGGGAAAAAGGAUGACUCUUACAGCAUUGAAAAAGAUGGGAUAUAAGACAGAAUUCUGUUUAGUUCCAAGAGGAAAAUAAGACCAAUGGAUGAAAGUUACAGGGUGGUAGAUUUCAGAUAAAAUAUAAACAAGUACUACUCAUAAUUAAGAGUCUGGAAUCGAAGUGGGUAAGCGCUCAGUGGUUGGAGAUGUUCAAACAGAUGACAUGGCAGAGGGGACUCCUCUGCUACAGAAAGGGGCGGACACUUACAACCUUAAGAUUCCUUUCAAUUUGGGAAUCCCGCAAAGCCCACUUCCGAUCUUCUGCUAUUUGGGGAUUUGUGUGUGUGUAUGUGUUUUCGUGUUCUUUCUACCUGAAACAGAAACGAAAUGUUUCAUGAGCAUAUGUCAGAGGUCUAGAAUAGUUAGGCACAAAUGAGAUAGAAGACCAGCAUCUAGAAUUUCCUUUGGAUCUCCCCUAUAAUGGCUAACGCACAAACCCUCAACAAAAGGCCUCUUUUCUUGAAGCUUCUCUGUGUUUCUCAUGAAGAUGCUUAUUUUAUAUCUCAUUUAUAUUCAUGAUUUAACCUUGAAUUGAGGUGAUUUCUUUCCUCUUAAAUAAGUCUUUCCUUCAACUGCUUUCUUAUUGCUUGUGGAUAUCUCCUAAUUUAAGAGUGGAGAAUCAUGUGUUUUUACAACUACUAAAGAAACUGUACCUCCUUACUGUGAUUUCCAUUGUUGGAAAUUCGCAUUGAGUAAAAAUACUUUCCUCAUUCUCAUCUUAUUCUUUCUUCGACGGGAUUCUCUUUGGGAAGAUACUUGAUGUUUGCCACAAAAGCCUGGAAGAGCUUUUCAGGGCACCAUACAAAACAGUAUGCCCUUCAAGUUAGGCAGAGCCAGGCUUUAAAUCUUGGCUUUUUUGUGUAACUUAGUCAGCUUGCUUUAUCUUUCAGAACCUCAGUUUCCUCAUCUGUUAAAUGAGGUUAAUAAUACAUAUUUCAGAAAGUUAUUUUGAAGAUGAAAUAAAAUAAAGUGUGCUGAGGACCUAUAAUAAUACUUAGUACAUAGUAGAUAUACAAUGGCACAUGAAUAUUAUUAUUAAUUCCCCACACACUAACUUUCCAACAAUUCUCAAUUUUCCUUAAAGUAACAGAUCAAAUUUAAUUUCUUAACACUAUAGUAUUUCUAUUUAAAAUAUUUAGUGCCAGUUGUCCGUUUCUUUCCUUAAUCUAAUCAUUUAACUAUACCAAAAUGUCCUAACUUCAUAAUUAUUUGUAGGUUUAUUCAAAAAAGUUGGCAUGGUGGUAACCAAGCCCAAGGCAUGUGUUUAUCAUUAGCCUAGACUUUUUCUACUACCCGUUCUGUGUCUAGGUCUGAAGCUGUAGCUUUCCCAAAAUGCCUCGCCCAGAGAAAAGCAAUUGCAGAGUCCCUGCCUCUGUAGUCUGCCCUAACCAAGCCCAGGGCACUGAUUGUUUCCAUCCUGUACUUUACAGAAAUUGGCCUCCUCUGUUUGAUUUGAAGUCAUGAGUCUGGAUCACAGUGAGCGGUGCACUCUGCUUAAUGAAUCAUUAGUAGGACAGAGAAAAGAACAGACUCAAUUACAUGCUGGGUUGGUUAACCAGCCUUUCUCUGAACACUGCCCUGCUCCAACCUACGCUGAAACAGGGAGGCUUUUGUAUAGCAACGACUCCCUCGCCAGUAGUUCUGUCUGUUGAACCUAAGACCCAUAUUCUACAUUCUUGAUUGAUUUUAAUCUGACUUGGCAGCUUUCUUAAGUACUGUGGCCAUCUGCAAGCAGGAAUAAUGAUGGCUUUGUACAAACAUCAUAGCUGCUGGGCUCCCUGCCUCACUUCCCUCUUUCUGUCUUCUUGACCGCAUGCUUCAUCACCUGCAGGUGUCAAACUUUGCUUGGUGGCCCUUCAGAGUCAGGCUCUGGGGGCUUGCUCAGGAGGUGAUGAGCCCAAGAAAAAAGGGGAAAGAGAGUGGUGAAUAGAUAAACCGUAAACAAAUUAAUUAGGUGAUGGUAAGUGCUACCCUCCUCUCCUCUGCAUCUGGGGCUCCAGCCUUAGAAUAUAAAGUUUGUUGAAUGAGCUAUGUUCUCUCCCACCUCAGUGACUUUGAACAUACCUGUGGAAACCUUCCUCAACCUUUAGAAAACCUCAGCCCUUUCCACCUCCUUGACAUUCCCGAGAUCAUGGCCCCUCCUAUGAUUUAUUGUUGUCUGUCUACUCCUACUAGUCCAGAGGCUCCUUACAAGCAGGGACCAUGU
ensembl:lncRNA